UGGUUAUAUUCUUCAACUUGUCGUUUCUCCCAAAUUCCAAUUUUCCCAAUUCUUCCACAAUCCCAGUGAUUUCUAUAACACGAGGAAGCCGACGGCGUUCAAUUACUAAAUUGUUCAUUCCAUUUCCAAUUUUUCCAAUUCUUCCACAAUCAUUCAAUCGUUCAUUAAUUCUUUUGUUCGUAGCCAACGGAGUUUGAUUACUCAUUCGUCGCCGACGGAGUUCGAUUUCUUGCUCGUCGCGGCCGGAGUUUGAUUUCUUGUUCCUCGCAGCCGAAGUUGGGAAGAGCAGUUUGCUAUUCAGUUUCACUUCAGAUACAUUUGAGGGUCAUUCUCCUACGGUAACCCUACUAGUCUGCUACUUUACUGCAUCGUGCGGAGUAUACCUGCAAAUUAUUGCUGUUAGUUAUAAUUUGAGCAGAGGAACAAGACUUGGAGAAGAAGAAAAGAACUUGGUGUUAGUGAGGUUGAAGCUUUUCAGUGAAAAGGAGAUUUCAAGGAAUGAAGUUUCUAAUUGGGAAUGCAUCAAUGAGACCACCAUUUUGUAUAGGAAUAGCCUCCAGGAGCGUUCUAGACUUCCAACUGCUUGUACAUUUGACAGAAUAUUUAGGGGUGACUGCUCAACAAGCUAAGAGAAGUGUAUGAUGGAAGAUCAAAAUGACAUUACUCUUUCAGUUAUCAGGGGUGUUAACUAUGAGUGCCUUCUUCAUGCCUUCGCUCUAAUGUUUAUGCCAUUUUAUCUUAAGAAAACUUCUUUUUUUUCCAAUACAAUACUUCAAUGCAGCAACUAUUUUUGUGUAUGAGCAAACCAACAGUGGAAAGAGAUACACCAUGAAUGGAAUCACAGAGUACAUAGUGGCAUAUAUUUAUGAUUAUAUACAAAAGCAUGAAGAAAGAGCAUUCAUUUUGAAGUUCUUCUGUAAUUGAAAUCUAUAAUGAAGUUAUUAAAGCCCUUCUCAGUUCAGAUAAUUCUACUCUAAGAUUGCUUGAUGAUCCAGAGGGAAGUAGAGAAUGAGAAUGAGAAUGCAGAAAGUAGAGAAGAAACUCUUUUAUACCAUAUUUGACUACACGCCCACACGCGGAGUUUGUGAAGGAUCACUUGCUGCUAUUGAUGGAUUCAACCCAACACUUGCUGUCGCUAUUGAUGGAGUUUGUCAAAUGUUGGUGUUUGGUAUUUUUUUUUAUCACUUUUGUUGAAGGUUAAGAUGAGAGGAAUUGAUGGAUUCACCACAUGCUGUUGAUGGAGUUUGUCAAAUACUGGUGUUUAGUAUUUUUUUGAUCACUUGCUAUUGCUUUUGAAUACUAUGCUCAAAUAUUAAUAUAUUAUUGAAUACUAUUGAAUGUUACAACU